ACCUGUUAAGGAAACCCUAAACCCGAACACGAAUCCGACCCGCCACCUCCAAACCCGGACACGACCCGGACACGACCCAAACACGAUAGCGACACGAACCGCUUUGGGUUGACCCGACACGAUAGCAACACGAUAUCGACCUGAAUACGAUAGCAACACGAUAGCGACACGAUAGCGACACAAUAGCAACACGAUAGCGACCCGACACGAUAACAACACGAUAGCGACACGGACCGCUUUGGGAGGUUACCCGCAUCCGACCCGCACCCGACCCGCACCCGACCCGAAUUUUUCGUGUUCUUAUUGGGUCAACCC